rnacentral:rRNA from 1 species
UACGGAGGGUGCGAGCGUUAAUCGGAAUUACUGGGCGUAAAGCGCGCGUAGGCGGUUUGUUAAGUCAGCUGUGAAAGCCCCGGGCUCAACCUGGGAACUGCAGUUGAUACUGUCCGACUAGAGUACGAGAGAGGGAGGUAGAAUUCCAUGUGUAGCGGUGAAAUGCGUAGAUAUAUGGAGGAAUACCAGUGGCGAAGGCGGCCUCCUGGCUCGAUACUGACGCUGAGACGCGAAAGCGUGGGGAGCGAACAGG